rnacentral:lncRNA from 7 species
GACAGAAAGGACCCGCACGAAGAAAUCCUCUCUCACCUGUACCAGAGUUCUCGGCUGUGCUGCCGACGAGCCCGUACGAAUCGCCUAAUCGCCGCAUCCGGGCGGGAUACGGUCCACGCUGCCAAACCAUCUUGGGUAUAAAUUGGUGGCUCGUGAUCCUGAUGCCAUCGCCAUUGAAGCGUGGCCCUACCACCAAGAGCAGAGAGCUACUACCAGGCGAGUUUAAGCAGAUGCAUGGCGCCGUAGAUAGAUCCGUGCCUCUGCCAUCCAUCAAGCUCCCGCUUGGAAUCUAUGUGGUUUGUUAGGGUCAGAAGGAUGGAACCAUGGAGAUGUUAAGCUUGAAGGUCAGCAGGAGCAACGAUGGCUGCUCGCCGGGGGUUGAGCAUGUAGCAGACCAGAACCACGUCGUGGGCGGGUGCGACCACGCUGCAGCACUAAGGUCAAGAACACGUAUCGCCAAGAUGAGGAGCAUGAAGGAUGCUACGAUGAAUUCAGAGAGGUCUAGGCCAUCAUCUCCGAGUCAACUAUAGUUGUGGAUGAUCGUUGUCGUCAUAUGAUGUAAUUAUUUAGUUACUUUGUAUAGAAAUACUAUUAAGUAAUAAAGAUGUUAUAUUAAUUUUUAUACUUUG